rnacentral:lncRNA from 1 species
UGGAGCCAUUUUGCAUUGUAUUGUUUGGGCGACUUCAGAAUAUCCAAUUUUUCACCAGGCCCGGUCGUCCUGCCAAAUUUCAUGAGUUUUCGCCAGUGGGAAGUGGGCCAUUUUCCAGUUCAAAGGGGAGGAAAAAGAAAAAAGAAACAAAGAAAAACCACUUGGGGAAUAAUAGGGCUCUCGCAGCUGCUUAGCAGCUACGCUCGGGCCCUAAUAACUAGGGCCCCGGUGGGGCACUGUCGGGCCCGAGCCGCGUCGUGCCGCCCCCAGCGUGACCGCCUCCCCCUCCCGAUCGCGUCACACUCAAGGUCCAAAGAUGGUGUGCGCACUUGUCUGUGGUCAUUUCCCAUUAUAAUGAAUGGGAGGCGCAGUUUCUACCAAAACACUCGCUGCAGACAAACUUCAUGUCCUAUUUGAAAAAAGUCUGGACCAUGAGUGAGGGCACAAACACAGCUGGGAUAUAUCCAAAUGGCAGGUUGCUCCUCGUUACGGUGUUGCCUGGAGAGCGAUGCGAUUGAGCCAUUGAGCGAUGGGCAGGAAAAACUUGACUUUUUCUCCUGCCAUGUGGGGGGAGAAUGUGGAUUCUUUUAAGAAUGUGGAUUUUUUGGUCAUCUUUGGCGCCCCCUAGAACGUAAACCGUGGGGUGCAGCGUCAUGAUUUUUACAACUUUGAAUGGCCAUGGGGUGUAGAUUGGCCUGAGCAAAUUUGGUUUCAGUGGGACGAAAGCCUUAGGAGGAGUUAGCCACAUUCCAAUGUGUGCGAAUCGGCAAAAAAUGCAAAAUAGCCCUCUAACUGUACAUUUGACAGAUACGCACCCAUUGACUUUUUCGUAGAUCUUAUUGAGAUACACGUGAUUGUCAAAUUUUGUGUCAAUAUGACAAAGCGUACAGGUGUCACACUCAACAAUGUGAAUUUUCACCUUACGGGACAAGAAAAAAUUGAAUUUUUUUUUCCUGCCAUGGGGGGGCGCUCUUUUGGGGAGUAAAAAUUCCUUCACAAAUGUGUUGAUGGCUGGACAUUGCAUCAUCCUAGAAAACUUGGAGGCCAGAGAGGACAAAAAUAAAAAGUUAUAAGACUUUUAAAUAUGUGGAUUUUAGGGUUAUCUUUGGCGCCCCCUAGAACCUAAACCGUGGGGUGCAGCGUCAUGAUUUGAAUAACUUUUAAUGGCCAUGGGGUGUAGAUUGGCCUGAGCAAAUGUGGUGCCGGUGGAAAGAAAGCCUUCGGAGGAGUUAGCGAAACUCCAAUGUGUGUGGAUCGGCAAAAAAUGCGGAAUAACCCUUUAACCGUACAUUUGACAGAUACGCCCGCACUGACUUUUUUGUAGAUCUUAUUGAGAUACAUAUGUGUGUCAAUUUUUGUGUCAUUUUGACAAAGCGUAAAGGCGUGACAGUCAAUAGUGUGAAUUUUCACCUUAGGGGGCGCUAUGGAGCCAUUUUGCAUUGUAUUGUUUGGGCGACUUCGGAAUAUCCAAUUUUUCACCAGGCCCGGUCGUCCUGCCAAAUUUCAUGAGUUUUCGCCAGUGGGAAGUGGGCCAUUUUCCAGUUCAAAGGGGAGGAAAAAGAAAAAAGAAACAAAGAAAAACCACUUGGGGAAUAAUAGGGCUCUCGCAGCUGCUUAGCAGCUACGCUCGGGCCCUAAUAACUAGGGCCCCGGUGGGGCACUGUCGGGCCCGAGCCGCGUCGUGCCGCCCCCAGCGUGACCGCCUCCCCCUCCCGAUCGCGUCACACUCAAGGUCCAAAGAUGGUGUGCGCACUUGUCUGUGGUCAUUUCCCAUUAUAAUGAAUGGGAGGCGCAGUUUCUACCAAAACACUCGCUGCAGACAAACUUCAUGUCCUAUUUGAAAAAAGUCUGGACCAUGAGUGAGGGCACAAACACAGCUGGGAUAUAUCCAAAUGGCAGGUUGCUCCUCGUUACGGUGUUGCCUGGAGAGCGAUGCGAUUGAGCCAUUGAGCGAUGGGCAGGAAAAACUUGACUUUUUCUCCUGCCAUGGGGGGGGGAGAAUGUGGAUUCUUUUAAGAAUGUGGAUUUUUUGGUCAUCUUUGGCGCCCCCUAGAACGUAAACCGUGGGGUGCAGCGUCAUGAUUUUUACAACUUUGAAUGGCCAUGGGGUGUAGAUUGGCCUGAGCAAAUUUGGUUUCAGUGGGACGAAAGCCUUAGGAGGAGUUAGCCACAUUCCAAUGUGUGCGAAUCGGCAAAAAAUGCAAAAUAGCCCUCUAACUGUACAUUUGACAGAUACGCACCCAUUGACUUUUUCGUAGAUCUUAUUGAGAUACACGUGAUUGUCAAAUUUUGUGUCAAUAUGACAAAGCGUACAGGUGUCACACUCAACAAUGUGAAUUUUCACCUUACGGGACAAGAAAAAAUUGAAUUUUUUUUUCCUGCCAUGGGGGGGCGCUCUUUUGGGGAGUAAAAAUUCCUUCACAAAUGUGUUGAUGGCUGGACAUUGCAUCAUCCUAGAAAACUUGGAGGCCAGAGAGGACAAAAAUAAAAAGUUAUAAGACUUUUAAAUAUGUGGAUUUUAGGGUUAUCUUUGGCGCCCCCUAGAACCUAAACCGUGGGGUGCAGCGUCAUGAUUUGAAUAACUUUUAAUGGCCAUGGGGUGUAGAUUGGCCUGAGCAAAUGUGGUGCCGGUGGAAAGAAAGCCUUCGGAGGAGUUAGCGAAACUCCAAUGUGUGUGGAUCGGCAAAAAAUGCGGAAUAACCCUUUAACCGUACAUUUGACAGAUACGCCCGCACUGACUUUUUUGUAGAUCUUAUUGAGAUACAUAUGUGUGUCAAUUUUUGUGUCAUUUUGACAAAGCGUAAAGGCGUGACAGUCAAUAGUGUGAAUUUUCACCUUAGGGGGCGCUAUGGAGCCAUUUUGCAUUUUCUUGAUUGGGCGACUUCGGAAUAUCAAAUUUUUCACCAGGCCCGGUCAUCCUGCCAAAUUUCAUGAGUUUUCGCCAGUGGGAAGUGGGCCAUUUUCCAGUUCAAAGGGGAGGAAAAAGAAGAAAGAAAGAAAGAAAGAAACAAAGAAAAACCACUUGGGGAAUAAUAGGGCUCUCGCAGCUGCUUAGCAGCUACGCUCGGGCCCUAAUAAGAAGAAGAAGAACUAGGGCCCCGUUGGGGCACUGGCGGGCCCGAGCCGUGUCGCGCCGCCCCCAA